rnacentral:rRNA from 1 species
CGCCGCGUGAGGGAUGACGGCCUCUGGGUUGUAAACCUCUUUCGCCAGGGACGAAGCGCAAGUGACGGUACCUGGAGAAGAAGGACCGGCCAACUACGUGCCAGCAGCCGCGGUAAUACGUAGGGUCCGAGCGUUGUCCGGAAUUACUGGGCGUAAAGAGCUCGUAGGUGGUUUGUCGCGUUGUUCGUGAAAACUCACAGCUUAACUGUGGGCGUGCGGGCGAUACGGGCAGACUGGAGUACUGCAGGGGAGACUGGAAUUCCUGGUGUAGCGGUGGAAUGCGCAGAUAUCAGGAGGAACACCGGUGGCGAAGGCGGGUCUCUGGGCAGUAACUGACGCUGAGGAGCGAAAGCGUGGGGAGCGAACAGGAUUAGAUACCCUGGUAGUCCACGCCGUAAACGGUGGGUACUAGGUGUGGGUUUCCUUCCUUGGGAUCCGUGCCGUAGCUAACGCAUUAAGUACCCCGCCUGGGGAGUACGGCCGCAAGGCUAAAACUCAAAGAAAUUGACGGGGGCCCGCACAAGCGGCGGAGCAUGUGGAUUAAUUCGAUGCAACGCGAAGAACCUUACCUGGGUUUGACAUGCACAGGACGUGCCUAGAGAUAGGUAUUCCCUUGUG